rnacentral:rRNA from 1 species
AUUGAACGCUGGCGGCAUGCUUUACACAUGCAAGUCGAACGGUAACAGGUUAAGCUGACGAGUGGCGAACGGGUGAGUAAUGCAUCGGAACGUGCCCGGUCGUGGGGGAUAACACUUCGAAAGAAGUGCUAAUACCGCAUACGAUCUGAGGAUGAAAGCGGGGGACCGUAAGGCCUCGCGCGAUCGGAGCGGCCGAUGUCAGAUUAGGUAGUUGGUGGGGUAAAGGCUCACCAAGCCGACGAUCUGUAGCUGGUCUGAGAGGACGACCAGCCACACUGGGACUGCGACACGGCCCAGACUCCUACGGGAGGCAGCAGUGGGGAAUUUUGGACAAUGGGCGCAAGCCUGAUCCAGCAAUGCCGCGUGCAGGAAGAAGGCCUUCGGGUUGUAAACUGCUUUUGUACGGAGCGAAAAGGCUCUCUCUAAUACAGGGGGCUCAUGACGGUACCGUAAGAAUAAGCACCGGCUAACUACGUGCCAGCAGCCGCAGUAA